rnacentral:rRNA from 1 species
AAAACAUUUUUCCCCCUUAGUAUAGGCGAUAGAAAGGGAUCUAAGAGCCAUAGAACCAGUACCGCAAGGGAAAGCUGAAAGAGAGAUGAAACAGCACCAUAAAGUACAAAAAAGCAGAGAUUAAACCUCGUACCUUUUGCAUCAUGAAUUAGCCAGUAUCACCAAGCGAGGGGAACCAUAGCUUGCACACCCGAAACUGAGUGAGCUACUCCAGGACAGCCUAUUUAGGGCGAACCCGUCUCUGUGGCAAAAGAGUGGGGAAGAUCUUCGAGUAGAAGUGACAGACUUACCGAACUCAGUUAUAGCUGGUUGCUGGAAAAUGGAUAUAAGUUCAGCCCCCCUCAUUCUUCACUCAUGCGCCCCGCCGCCAGUAUGACAAAAAGAUAUGACAGGGAGUUAUUCGAAGGGGGUACAGCCCCUUUGAAGAAAGACACAACUUUUUAAGGAGGAUAAGGAUAACACAAGGAGCGGUGCCCCCGUGGGCCUAAAAGCAGCCACCCCCGUAGAAAGCGUUAAAGCUCAAGCACAACAACAUCCGUAUAUUCCAAUAAGCCCAUCCAAAGCCCCAACAUAAUACCAGGCUGCUCUACUCAACCAGUAGAAGAAAAAAUGCUAGUAUGAGUAAUAAGAAAUUCCACGAAUUUCUCCCAGCACUCACAUAAAUCGGAACGGACAACCCACCGAAAGUUAGCGGACCCAAGAAAAGAGGGAAAUGAUGAACACCAAGACCGGAAAAACAUUCAACCUCAAACCGUUGACCCCACACCGGAGUGCUCUAAGGAAAGACUGAAAGAAAGAGAAGGAACUCGGCAAAUUAAACACAAGCCUCGACUGUUUACCAAAAACAUCGCCUCUUGCUAACACAUGUAGAAUAAGAGGUCUAGCCUGCCCAGUGACAAUAUGUUCAACGGCCGCGGUAUUUUGACUGUGCUAAGGUAGCGCAAUCACUUGUCUUUUAAAUGAAGACCUGUAUGAAAGGUAUCACGAGGGCUUAACUGUCUCCUCUUUCUAGUCAAUGAAAUUGAUCUCCCCGUGCAGAAGCGGGGAUUACACCAUAAGACGAGAAGACCCUGUGGAGCUUGAGACAUCAGGGCAGACCACGUCCAAAACCCGCCUAAGGGACUGAACUGAGUGACACCUGCCCAAAUGUCUUCGGUUGGGGCGACCAUGGGGAAAGCAAAACCCCCACGAGGACAGGGAGCACCAGAGGGAUACUCCUCAACCAUACAACCGAACUCCUAAAAACUAGAGCCCCCGCUCUAGUUAAACGAAAUAUUCGACCUAGACUGAUCCGGCAUGACCGAUCAACGGAAUAAGUUACCCCAGGGAUAACAGCGCUAU